UACGGAGGAUGCGAGCGUUAUCCGGAUUUAUUGGGUUUAAAGGGUGCGUAGGCGGGAGGUCAAGUCAGCUGUGAAAUGUAUCUGCUUAACGGGUACACUGCAGUUGAAACUGGUUUUCUUGAGUGCAAAUGAGGUAGGCGGAAUGCGUCGUGUAGCGGUGAAAUGCUUAGAUAUGACGCAGAACUCCGAUUGCGAAGGCAGCUUACUGGGAUGCAACUGACGCUGAGGCACGAAAGCGUGGGUAUCAAACAGGAUUA
rnacentral:rRNA from 1 species